GACACGGUGGCACACUGGUUAGCCCUACUGCCUCACAACAAGAAGGUCGUGGGUUCGAAUCCGGCCUGGGACC